AUUUUCGAUUAUUCGGCGGCCGCCCAAGGCUUUAAUUAUUUUCCUCACCUUAUACCUCCAAUUAAAUUUUUAGUGGAGCCCAAAGAAUUAGCCCAAAUUAAUAUAUAUAUAUCUCAAAUCCUUGUUUCUCCUUAAUCCAUUAACAAGGCCCAAAAAGAAAAAAAAGAGCCCAACUAUACUCCCAUCCUCCACGUCUCUCCCUCUUUCUCCCUAUCUCUUUAGCUUCUUCUCUCUCUCUCAUUUCUUCUACCCCCUUUUUUUUCAUUCUCGUCGCCUCCUCUCUUUUCGUCGGAGCCGCCGGCGCGGUGAGGGGUUCCAGCCGCCGAUCCACUGCUGCUGCCGGUGCAUUGCAGAGGUUACGCCCUUCCGUCGCCCGACACCGCCGCUGCCGUCGAGCUCCUCUGCCGCUCCAGCCUUCUUCGCCAGCCACCGUCGACGUCAGCAGCGCCCAGCCACCGUCGACAUCAGCAGCGAGCCGUCGAUGGUCGGACAGCCCAGGAACGUCCCCACCGCUAACCCGAACAGCCUCGAACAACUCCCCAACCGACCUCGAUUUAUCCCGAAAGACAAGGCUUUUACAAGGAUUGAAUGAGGGAGGUGGAAGAGUUGAAAGAUGGAGGGUCUCCUUAGAGGAAGGAACCGGCGCUGGGGAAGAAAGAAGAAUUUUGGACUUGCACCAACAAAUUCUAGGAAUGAAUUGGGCCCAAAGAUAUCUCUUUUAAUUUAAUAGCCCCAAAGCCAAAUUGUAAAAUAAAACAUUGGACUUUGAUUUAUAUUUAUUUGGGUCGGCCCAAGUUCUUAUAUUUA